rnacentral:sRNA from 1 species
CGAUACAUGUAACAGUCAGAGGCAGGCAGUUAGCAACAGCGGAGGAGAUGCUCCUGCACAUAAUACUACACAGAGAACGCCUAGAAGUCAUGCUACCAUGGCAACAACAGGUUUACCAAGGAGGAAGCUUGGUGGUUACUAAACACAUGAGACCUCGAUGAAAGGUUGGCAUCGUGACGUGCCUUGGAUAGCUGAAGCCUGUGAAGGUCGACACAAACAUAAUUUACACCUCCUGAGCUGCAACCGCCUCACGCUCAGCAUCCAAUCCACUCAACCUCCUGUUAUUGUAAGAAUCCGGAAAUUAUUGGAACAACAUACCUGCUCCUGGAUAAUGCUUCUAGCUUCAACUAGUUGAGCUUCAAGUUCAAGUUCCCGCUCGGUAGCUUCUGAUGUCACUUCUGCACCCUUUUGGGCAUCUUGAAGUUGUUCAUUCUACCUUUAUGGAAGCCAUUUUAGUGCGCAAACUCUCUUCAAUCUGGUCUCUAGCCAUGUGAAAGGGCAAAUCAAAGACAUCCGUCUUGCCACCAAGUGGAGACUGAGGAGAUCCUGCCUCCUGUCGUCCAUUGCCCACAACAGCUGGCUGUGGAACUCCAUUUGGAGCAUUGAGGAACUCGCGCAUAUCCAUCUAAGAUAAAACAUUAUUACUCAAAAAUGUACACGGUAUGCAUCAGAGAGAUGUAUAACAUAACGCGUAGUCACUUACAAUCAUUUUGUAAUAAUCAUUGUCAUUCUUUUUUCCACUCCAAGUUCCACGCUGCCGUCCUUCUUUCUCACCUGCAACAAGUUCAUUAUUUCCAUUCCUGAACGUGAUGAUUCCUUCUUUUUCUCCAUUAAUACCU